rnacentral:pre_miRNA from 2 species
UUGGCUCCCGCCCCCUGUAACAGCAACUCCAUGUGGAAGUGUCCACUGAUUCCAGUGGGGCUGCUGUUAUCUGGGGCGAGGGCCGG